rnacentral:piRNA from 1 species
UGCUGGAACCAGAGCUUACAUGGCUGC